rnacentral:lncRNA from 1 species
UAAUAACUUGGCUGGAAGAUUCAGAGGUUUCACAAAACCCAAAGAGAGAGGAAGUCUUCCCUAGUUUCGGAGCAAGCAGUCAGGGUUGCCGUGAUGGUCUCUUUUGUACUUUCAGAUAUUCAAAGGCCGGGUCCUGCUGAACACUGACAUGCUGUGCAUGCAGAAGAGAUCACUUGACUCCCCAUCUGGAAAGCUGAAUCAAGGAGGCAAAAUGGACUUGGGAACUCUCCAGACUCCAGCACCUUCACAGUUACUACUGGUGGUCAUGAUAUCGACAGCAGCCAGCUAUGAAUACGAAUUUUCAAAAUGGCAAUGUGAUCUAGAAGAAGGCAGUGAGUCUUCUUCAGAGCAGGACAUCAAGAAACAAACAGCAACCCGUUGAGCGCUUACUGUGGGCACGAGCACGGCAUUAAGAGCUUGGGACAGCACCGAGUUGGUAGACACGACCCCUCCGCCCACAAGGAGCCUACCAUCUACAAGGCACUGUGUUUUCUUCUCAGCUCCUUCUUGGCUGUAACAUCCCCAGAGAGCUUCCCACCUUGGUCCAGAGGCUGCUACCGAUAAGCAUUCCGGAUCUCCGGACCACAAGGCAGGUAAGGGUCAGGGAAAAGGCCCACCAGUCUCUAGGGUGCGUUAUAGGCUCUAGGAAGAAAGCAUUACACACUAGAAGACAACAAUAAGAGAAAGAAAAAGGCAAUCGGGCUGAGUGCCAUUUCAAGCACGAGGGCCAAGGAAAAAGCCUCUUACCUGUUGCUCCUUCAAUCUGGCCGCGCUAAGUUCGGAGAGGGACAGAGUGAGCUUCUCUUGCUGCUCCGACAGAUAUUUCUGAUAAAGGCUCAGCAGUUCCUGGCACUCCCUGUACUGCUGCUGAAGGGGUGAGAGAGCAAGUUAAGGGAAAAAUUGGAUCGCGAUGUGGGUAUGGCCCCUCAGUAGCCAAACCCGCCAAACCUAAACCGAGUUCAGAGGCGAUGACUAUGUCAUUUGAUUUGCUGCGGGAGAGAGAUGUAGUGGCAGGAAGA